rnacentral:rRNA from 1 species
UAAUACAGAGGUGGCAAGCGUUGUUCGGAAUUACUGGGCGUAAAGGGCGCGUAGGCGGCCUGCUAAGUCACACGUGAAAUCCCUCGGCUCAACCGGGGAACUGCGUGUGAUACUGGCGGGCUUGAAUUCGGGAGAGGGAUGUGGAAUUCCAGGUGUAGCGGUGAAAUGCGUAGAUAUCUGGAGGAACACCGGUGGCGAAGGCGGCAUCCUGGACCGAGAUUGACGCUGAGGCGCGAAAGCUAGGGGAGCAAACGGGAUUAGAUACCCCGGUAGUCCUAGCCCUAAACGAUGAGUGCUUGGUGUGGCGGGUAUCGAUCCCUGCCGUGCCGAAGCUAACGCAUUAAGCACUCCGCCUGGGGAGUACGGUCGCAAGGCUG